rnacentral:rRNA from 1 species
GUAAGGCUGAGCAUGACUUGCAUGUCAGUCGGACGGCCGCGCUUCCUUCUGCCUGGCAGUGAGUGACGAAUGAGUGAUACAUCCAUCCGAGCCCGGCCUGGCGGGAGGGAUAACUAGACGAAAGAUUAAUUAAUACCACAAACUACCUGUGGGUGAAAGCGACCGACCGGCCUGCCUCGCUCGAUACGACCGAUCUAUGAUUGAUUAGCUGGUGGGGGGGGUGAAUGCCUACGAAAGCAACAAUCACUGGUUGGACUGAAAGAACAAUCACCCUGGCUGUGACUGACACACCGCACUCACUCCUACGGCAGGCAUGGGUGAUUAAUUUUGAAGAAUGCGACCCACCCUGAUCCAUGCCUGCCGCGUGAGUAAAGAAUGCCUUCUGGUUGUAAAUUUUUUUUGUCCAGAAAUAAACGUGCCUGGUUACUACCCGCGAUCAAUGACCCGACCGAAAAAAUACCCACCAACUACCUGCCUGCCACCACCCUAAUACAUACGUAGGGAGCGAUCGUCAAUCUUACUGACUGGAAGUAAAGCGCGCGCAGGUUGAUAGAAAAGACAGGAAAUACCUCCCCUCACUCUGCCUGUGAAUGUUGCUAGUGACUGGCUAGAUUGAGUGCGACGGAGGUAGAUAGACACCCGCGUGAAUCAGAUACAUGCAUAUAUAUAUGAAUGCCUAUGGAUAGCGAAGGCCCCCCCACGUGCCUGACUGUCGCGCAUGCACGCGAGCGUGAGCAACAGCAUAAAUACAUAGCUGUCCUCCCCGCCCCAACUAUCUUACUGUUGGUUAUGCU